UAAUGAAGAAGAGAAAAGGUGAAAGAUUUCAGCAGCCGAUUGAGCAUCUCCGUUACGGCAACAGAAACUGCCGUGCACUAUUUGUCAUCAACUUCAUUCUUCGUCGCAUUAAAAGUUUUAAACAAAGUAAACUAUGGCGUCGUGCUGCUGUUGGGUGUUGUAUCGUUGAUGGGUGGUUCAGCCAUGGUGUACCGAUGUCUCCUGGGUAUGGCGGGUACCAAAGCACAACACUGCCGUGCCGUCUAACUAAUUAGCAUCAACUUCCGCUGCUCCUGCUUACUACACUGAGGUUUACAAGUGCUACACCACCAUGGAUCUAGAGUAUUACACCACAGCUCAUGUUGCCCCGACCUACUACGCUGAAUGCCCGAAGUAUUUUUCUUCCCCGAGCUACACUACCAAAGGGUCGAGAACUACGUCGAGGCUCCCAAGUACUACAUCACCAAGGUACCGGAGUACAAAAACGGUUGAAUACUACACAGAAGCUAUCAUGGGAAACUAUGGUGUCGUGCUGCUGUGAGUGUUGUAAUCAUGAUGGCUGGAUCGACCACUGGUGUGCCGAUAUCUCCUGGGUAUGGUGGGCAUCAACAACAUACGCAACAACCGCUUACUACACUGGGACCUGCAAGUGCCAAACCACCAAGGCUUUAGAGUAUUACACCACAGUAUAUGUUGGUACGAGCUACUACGCAGAAGCUCCGGAAUAAUUUUCUUCCCCGCCUCACUACCUUCACCACGCCGCCUCCUUACUAAACAACAACAACAACGUCGUCAACACCUACUUACUAAACGAACGCCUCCAAGUACUACGCCAUAAAGGCUUCGACUACUACACCGAGGAUCAACUUGUUACACCACCGAAGCACCCAAGUACUGCACUACAACCUACGUUGCCCCAGCUUACACCACGAAGACACCGUAGUACUCCAUCACGAAGGCACCGGCACGUUAUAAAACCGAGGCUCCAGUCUACUACAUUACAACCUACGCUGCUACAAAGUACUACACCAAUAAGGCAUCCGAGUAUGACACCACUACUUACGCUACUACCACCUACUACACCCAAGCUCCGAAAGCACUACUCUGCCCCGAGUUACUACACCACUAAGGCAGCCGAAUAUUGUACUACAAACUACGAUUCCGCAAUUCGGUCACUUUCAUGGUCAUUGGUCACUGGAAAUUAAUUCUUGAUCUUUAAUGAGAAAAUAAGGUUUUAAUGCUGGUA